rnacentral:lncRNA from 1 species
GAACAUUUGGACUUAUUAAACGGUUACCUAGUUUCCACUUCAUAGCAUAUAGAUAAUAUAUCGUAGUUAGUUUUGUUACGUUGUGCUGAAUUCAUAUAUGCUUUAAGGUGGAAAUUACCCCACUAAUGUCAGUUUUUGGACUGUCAUGAUCAUCGAUAGUCAUUAGGAGCUGAACAAAACACCCCAAGAACAAAAGCAACCAAAAAUGAAAUGCUCAUAUAUAAGAUUCUCAUUUUUGGUCCAAUUUUGAGGUUUAAUGCUUAUCACUUAAUGCAGCUUUCUUAUGUUGAUGUGUACCUCAAAAUGUAAUAUUUACUGUAAGAUGGUUCAGUGAUCAAUUCUUGAUUCAAUUUUGUGUGAAUGGGAGAAAUCUUUACUCUGGCCGGGAAUAAAUAUUAUUAAGUUACGCUCUAAAUUUGUAAUUACGAAGUUGUCCUGCCCUCCUCCAUCCUCACCUCUCUCUCCUCUCUAAUUUUAGGUUUCUCAUGGGAGUCAUUCCUCGAAGAGAGUCUUCCGCAGGGUCAAUAAACAAGCUGCUUUGCCUUUUGCUGAACGCACUCUUGCCAAAUGCCUAGAGUUUGAAGAUACUGGGAGGAACUGCUUUAGAAAAGCUCUUCUAGUUCAUCAGUGGCUAUUGGGAGCGAUGUUGCAAGGGGAAAUGAGGAGCCGCACAAUGUAGGAAAGAAUCCUGUGAAUCCUUCAACAAAACAACCAACUGAAUCUGUUUCAUUUGAGCGAAGAAACUCUGCUUCUCUAAUGGACUUGGACGAAGGUGGUAUGCAAGACCACGACUGGCAUGGUCUUGCCGUACCAAUGGAUAACCUCUCAGAUGUCCAUUUUGAUUUCUGGUUUUAAAACUCCAACUAGCAAAUUGUCUAGUUUAAGGUUAGACGCUUGAUAUUUGUUUACAUUUACAGCAUGACCUGCUCCAUUACAUGUUGGAAGAGCAUGAGGUCAUAUUUGUUUUCAAGUCUCGGUACUAGUAUUUCCGGAUAUGUUCAUUUUGGACGAUGUUAAUGUGUUCCAAUUUUCUAUAAUUUUGCCAGAACUAUGAUUUCUUUAAUCUUUUGGUAGGCUUAAAUGAUGCAAUGUUAUAAUUGUUGGAUGCUGUUCAUUCUCGCGCACAAGUGAUCUGUGUGUCUACGUGAUGCUGUCCAGACAUGAAUUCGAUUCUCAACGCAACUUUGCUUACUCAGGUUCUAUUUCACACUACUUUACUAUGAACAAUAUCUUUGUUUGUUUAUGAUUUUCACCAUUUGAGCUAUUAUUUUGUAAUAUAACACCUUUGAUCGUAGUAAUAUCGUGAGUAAUUGAGUUAUAGGUUAGUUUAUUGCUAAAUCGGGACUUGAUUCUUGCUGGAAGUGUUUAAUUAUGAGUGCAUCAUGUUUUGAUACAAAGUCUUUUUACAUUUCUUAUGAUGUUUUGAGCUAUUAUUUUGUAUUAUUCAGCUUUGAUUGUAGUAAUUGAGUUCUUGGUGUAUUGGGUUCUUACUAAAUUCUUGCUUCAAGUGUUGCAUACGAUCUUCAUGAAGUCCAAUAGAGAAGCGGAGUCUCUCCGCUCAAAUGAGAUGGAUUGAGUUGGUUGUUUUGUUCUUUUUUAGAUUCCAUGUUAGUAUUAUGUAUGUAGCGAUGAUUAAUAUUUAUAAAAUACAGCUCUAUCAUGAUCCAGAAGAUUCCAGUCUCAUAUUUUACGAGUUUCUCAUGAAAGUGAUAUCAUACAUAGCUUGAAAGUUUGAUGUAUUUAUUUUAAAAUUGCUUUAUCAUAUUAUUAUUAAUUUUAGGAUUCAUGUGCAGGUGGAAAUCUUGCAGUAAACAAUAAAGAAAAUGCUCCACAAAUAUCUAAAAUCGAAGAAGCCAAUGACUCAUUGGCGGCCUCAGGUAAAAAUGUAUUCACAUUACAUAGCAUGUUUAAUUCGUAUGAAAUAAUAAUGGUUCAAAUGUUAUGAGUGAUAUUUUGAAGGCUCAAGAUUCUCUCUGUUCUACAUUCAAUGUAGUAGCUGAGCAAGCUGCUCUAACAAUGUAGUUCUAUUCAUUUUCUUAAAUAUUUACAAAUAUACAGGCACAGAAGAAGAAACAAUACAUUGCAAACAUUUAUGAAUCUAUUCAACAUGGAAAGGAUGCGGAGAAAAGGUAUCGUUGCGUUCAACCUUAGUUUGAUGAUGCUCUUAUGGCCUCUUUUACAGAUAAGACAAUUAGGUUUGACUGCAGGAAUCUGGAGCAGGCCGCUAUGAGUAAAUUGAUUGAAAUGGCCUACAAAAGACAAAGGGUAAUAGUAUCUUUUUCAUCUGUUUAUUAAUUUUCUUUUCAUUAUUGCUAUCAGUGACCAAGUUAUAUUGAAUUUUAGGAAUCUUGGCACUAUAUACCAAGAAGCAAAUCAUGCAUCUUUCUAUUUAAACUGUACAUUCUAUGGUUAAUAGAAAUUUAAGUAAUUGCUAUGGAUGCAUACACUACACUUGCACUAAUAAUAUAUGAAAAAGAUGUGCAAGCAUUAGAUGGUCUCUGGCUCUCUCUGCCCAUGUGCAGGAGGGUCAUAGUCAUGUUAUACUGUUUGACUCUUAGAAGUUGAUAGAGAAAAGCUCAGAAGGUAGAAAGAAAUGGAACAAUAUAUACACCUCAUUGUACUUGCUAAAACUAUGUUCUUGAGUUGAUAAAUUUGGAUGGUGAAAGUCCUGAGAGUUACGGCCUUUGACUUUAUAUCGAAGUCGUGCUUAAUAUUUUCUUUCAAUUUCUGCCUCUUUUUUUAAAUGGCAACGACCUGCUAUAUCAUAGUUGGAUGCAGUGAAACCCUAUAAGCGAGAUCUAAAAAUCAGUUUCCUGCUGCUAUUUAUCAUGAUAGAGUCAGAAGUAUGAAAUUUUUGUAGACACUAAUGAUUUUCCAUGAGCNGUGCUUAAUAUUUUCUUUCAAUUUCUGCCUCUUUUUUUAAAUGGCAACGACCUGCUAUAUCAUAGUUGGAUGCAGUGAAACCCUAUAAGCGAGAUCUAAAAAUCAGUUUCCUGCUGCUAUUUAUCAUGAUAGAGUCAGAAGUAUGAAAUUUUUGUAGACACUAAUGAUUUUCCAUGAGCCAGUCUAUAUCCUGAGAGCUUAAAAUAUUAUGCAUAUGUCCUAACAUGUUGUGGUAGAUUGUGUUUUGACUGUCACUCAUAUUUCAUGGGUUUUCUUGUUACACUUGAUUAACAGAGUCAAUUAUACUAUUAGUAACUAUCAAAUCAAUUUUUUACCCUAAUAAGAAAUAUGCAUCACCCCUUGAACUUUUAGAACAUUUGGACUUAUUAAACGGUUACCUAGUUUCUACUUCAUAGCAUAUGGAUAAUAUAUAUCGUUGUUACUUAGUUUUGUUACGUUUUGCUGAAUUCAUAUAUGCUUUAAGGUGGAAAUUACCCCGACUAAUGUCAGUUUUUGGACUGUCAUGAUCAUCGGUAGUCAUUAGGUGCUGAACAAAAGAGUCCAAGAACAAAAGCAACCAAAAAUGAAAUGCUCA